rnacentral:rRNA from 1 species
UGGGGAAUUUUGGACAAUGGGGGAAACCCUGAUCCAGCCAUCCCGCGUGUGCGAUGAAGGCCUUCGGGUUGUAAAGCACUUUUGGCAGGAAAGAAACGUCAUGGGUUAAUACCCCGUGAAACUGACGGUACCUGCAGAAUAAGCACCGGCUAACUACGUGCCAGCAGCCGCGGUAAUACGUAGGGUGCAAGCGUUAAUCGGAAUUACUGGGCGUAAAGCGUGCGCGGGCGGUUCGGAAAGAAAGAUGUGAAAUCCCAGAGCUCAACUUUGGAACUGCAUUUUUAACUACCGGGCUAGAGUGUGUCAGAGGGAGGUGGAAUUCCGCGUGUAGCAGUGAAAUGCGUAGAUAUGCGGAGGAACACCGAUGGCGAAGGCAGCCUCCUGGGAUAACACUGACGCUCAUGCACGAAAGCGUGGGGAGCAAACAGG